rnacentral:rRNA from 1 species
UGGGCAACCUGCCCCAGACACAGGGAUAACCCCCGGGGAAACCGGGGGCUAAUACCGGAUACUCCGGUCGAACCGCAUGGCUCGAUCGGGAAAGCUCCGACGGUCUGGGAUGGGCCCGCGGCCUAUCAGCUUGUUGGUGGGGUAACGGCCUACCAAGGCGACGACGGGUAGCUGGUCUGAGAGGACGACCAGCCACACUGGAACUGAGAUACCGGCCCAGACCUCCGUACGGGAG